rnacentral:rRNA from 1 species
UAUACCGUAGCUUGCUACACCAUAGGCUGUGAGUUGCGAACGGGUGAGUAACGCGUAGGUAACCUGCCUAUUAGAGGGGGAUAACUAUUGGAAACGAUAGCUAAUACCGCAUAACAGUAUGUAACACAUGUUAGAUGCUUGAAAGAUGCAAUUGCAUCGCUAGUAGAUGGACCUGCGUUGUAUUAGCUAGUAGGUAGGGUAAUGGCCUACCUAGGCGACGAUACAUAGCCGACCUGAGAGGGUGAUCGGCCACACUGGGACUGAGACACGGCCCAGACUCCUACGGGAGGCAGCAGUAGGGAAUCUUCGGCAAUGGGGGGAACCCUGACCGAGCAACGCCGCGUGAGUGAAGAAGGUUUUCGGAUCGUAAAGCUCUGUUGUUAAGGAAGAACGAGUGUGAGAAUGGAAAGUUCAUACUGUGA